rnacentral:misc_RNA from 1 species
GUAGGUGAACCUGCGGAAGGAUCAUUAACACGUAUCCAACGUUAAAACAACCCUGUGAACCUUUAUUCGCCGCUCGCGGGCCCGUGUAAGCAGCAAUCCCUGGUAAAUCAUUGUUGAAUAGCUUUUGAUUCAGGGACCUCUGCGAUAAAUGAGAAGUUAAAGCACGCUUGAGCAGCUGAUCGCAACGCGACCCGGCACCCCCAAGUAGUCAUUGUUCUGAAAGUGUCUUUGAUUAUGUAAGGGUGGCGCUUAACGAUUCGCUAGAGGCCGACACGGCCGGCGAUCGGGUCCCUGGGGACAUAGUCCUCCCCUACGGCCCCCUUGUACUUCUGCAGGAGUGCACAUGACGCUGCACCCACAAAAACGAACAACUGUUAACAAUGGAUAUCUUGGUUCUC